AAUAAAAUAAGCUAAGUUAAGCUAUUGGGUUCAUACCCCAAAUAUGAGAUUAUCUCUUUUAUUA
rnacentral:tRNA from 1 species